CCUGGCCCUCCCGACAGCACCAGAAACGCCGCUCCGUUUACCCACAUUGCCCCUAUUUAAAAACAAAACAAAAAGCCCCACUCCACCAUCAGCCCUUCAGCAUCCAAGACACCAGGGAAGGACAGACAGUGGUGGGAGGACGCUCCAUAUGCCAGCGGUGUGAGCACUUCACAUAUUGCCCUUCGUUUUACUGAAGAUGAAGAGGGGCAGAAACUCCAAGCACACAAAAUGGAACUAGAAACGGACCCCACCUUGAAGACAUGUACAACCAGUUUAUUACACCCUCAGCUCUGAAUCACACUGUUGUCCUGGGCACGGCUCAAAUCCAACUCUACAGGGAGAACCUUGAGGUAUGGGAUGGUAUCUCCUCUGGCCACCAAGAGGAUCUGUAUGGCUUUGAGAACUCAGCUGGCAUUUAAAUGCUUCUGAGGGUUAGCCGGUAAGCCAACACGUUUUAAUUUGCUGUGGUCACUGUAGAUAAGCAUGAUAGAAUAUACUGAUUUUCAAAAAUUCGGGCAGCCCCGGUGGCACAGCGGUUUAGCGCCGCCUGCAGCCCGGGGUGUGA
rnacentral:lncRNA from 1 species